UCAAGUAAUGAAGUGCACAUGGUGGAUGCCUUGGCAGUCAGAGGCGAUGAAAGACGUGAUAGCCUGCGAUAAGCGUCGGUGAGGUGGCAAUAUCCUGUGACCCGGCGAUUUCUGAAUGGGGAAACCCAACCAACACAAGUUGGUUAUUACACAGUUUACUGUGUAAGGCAAACCGGGAGAAGUGAAACAUCUCAGUACCCCGAGGAAAAGACAUCAAAUGAGAUUCCGUAAGUAGCGGCGAGCGAACACGGAGGAGCCGAUCAAUUUUACAGUAGCAAAAUGGCGUGGGAAAGCCAACCAUAGUAGGUGAUAGUCCUGUAUGCGAAACUGUUUAAGCGACAUAUUAAGUAGGGCGGAACACGAGAAAUUCUGUCUGAAGAUGGGGGGACCAUCCUCCAAGGCUAAAUACUCCUGACUGACCGAUAGUGAACCAGUACCGUGAGGGAAAGGCGAAAAGAACCCCUGUUAGGGGAGUGAAAUAGAACCUGAAACCGUGUGCAUACAAGCAGUCGGAGCGGACUUGUUCCGUGACGGCGUACCUUUUGUAUAAUGGGUCAGCGACUUAUAUUCUGUAGCAAGGUUAACCGAAUAGGGGAGCCGUAGGGAAACCGAGUCUUAAUAGGGCGAAUGAGUUGCAGGGUAUAGACCCGAAACCGAGUGAUCUAUCCAUGAGCAGGUUGAAAGUGCCGUAACAGGCACCGGAGGACCGAACCCACUGUCGUUGAAAAGCCAGGGGAUGACUUGUGGAUAGGGGUGAAAGGCUAAUCAAACUCGGUGAUAGCUGGUUCUCCCCGAAAGCUAUUUAGGUAGCGCCUCGGACGAACACCAUUGGGGGUAGAGCACUGUUUCGGCUAGGGGGUCAUCCCGACUUACCAAACCGAUGCAAACUCCGAAUACCGAUGAGUGAUAUCCGGGAGACAGACGGCGGGUGCUAACGUCCGUCGUCAAGAGGGAAACAACCCAGACCGCCAGCUAAGGCCCCAAAUUCCUAGUUAAGUGGGAAACGAUGUGGGAAGGCACAGACAGCUAGGAGGUUGGCUUAGAAGCAGCCACCCUUUAAAGAAAGCGUAAUAGCUCACUAGUCGAGUCGGCCUGCGCGGAAGAUGUAACGGGGCUCAAACUAGGAGCCGAAGCUGCGGAUUUAAUUGUUUCAAUUAAGUGGUAGGGGAGCGUUGUGUAAGCCUGUGAAGGUGCACUGUAAGGUGUGCUGGAGGUAUCACAAGAGCGAAUGCUGACGUGAGUAACGACAAAACGGGUGAAAAGCCCGUUCGCCGGAAGACCAAGGGUUCCAGUCCAACGUUAAUCGGGGCUGGGUGAGUCGACCCCUAAGGCGAGGCCGAAAGGCGUAGUCGAUGGGAAAUCGGUUAAUAUUCCGAUACUUGUUUAUGAUGCGAUGGAGGGACGGAGAAGGUUAUGCCAGCCUGGCGAUGGUUGUCCAGGUGGAAGGAUGUAGUUAGACUGAGUAGGCAAAUCCGCUCGGUUAUUAAUGAGAUCUGAUAGCAAGCCAGUUUACUGGCGAAGUGGCAAAUACCCUGCUUCCAGGAAAAGCUUCUAAGCGAUAGUCAUAAACGAAUCGUACCCGAAACCGACACAGGUGGUCAGGUAGAGAAUACCAAGGCGCUUGAGAGAACUCUGCUGAAGGAACUAGGCAAAAUGGUACCGUAACUUCGGGAGAAGGUACGCUGCCGAUGGUGAUGAAACUUGCUUUCUGAGCUGUUGGCAGUCGCAGAUACCAGGCUGCUGCAACUGUUUAUUAAAAACACAGCACUCUGCAAACACGAAAGUGGACGUAUAGGGUGUGAUGCCUGCCCGGUGCUGGAAGGUUAAUUGAUGGGGUUAGCGUAAGCGAAGCUCUUGAUCGAAGCCCCAGUAAACGGCGGCCGUAACUAUAACGGUCCUAAGGUAGCGAAAUUCCUUGUCGGGUAAGUUCCGACC
rnacentral:rRNA from 1 species